AUAGUAAUUUUAUAAGUUGCAAACUUAUUUAUGAUUAAUUCUUACUAUU
rnacentral:tRNA from 1 species